rnacentral:rRNA from 1 species
UACGGGGGGGGCAAGCGUUGUUCGGAAUUACUGGGCGUCAAGGGCUCGUAGGCGGCCAAUUAAGUCAGACGUGAAAUCCCUCGGCUCAACCGGGGAACUGCGUCUGAUACUGAUUGGCUUGAGUUUGGGAGAGGGAUGCGGAAUUCCAGGUGUAGCGGUGAAAUGCGUAGAUAUCUGGAGGAACACCGGUGGCGAAGGCGGCAUCCUGGACCGACACUGACGCUGAGGAGCGAAAGCCAGGGGAGCAAACGGG